GAUGAACGCUGGCGGCGUGCUUAACACAUGCAAGUCGAACGAAGCACUUUAUUUGAUUUCCUUCGGGAUUGAUUAUUUUGUGACUGAGUGGCGGACGGGUGAGUAACGCGUGGGUAACCUGCCUUGUACAGGGGGAUAACAGUUGGAAACGGCUGCUAAUACCGCAUAAGCGCACAGCAUCGCAUGAUGCAGUGUGAAAAACUCCGGUGGUAUAAGAUGGACCCGCGUUGGAUUAGCUAGUUGGUGAGGUAACGGCCCACCAAGGCGACGAUCCAUAGCCGACCUGAGAGGGUGACCGGCCACAUUGGGACUGAGACACGGCCCAAACUCCUACGGGAGGCAGCAGUGGGGAAUAUUGCACAAUGGGCGAAAGCCUGAUGCAGCGACGCCGCGUGAGCGAAGAAGUAUUUCGGUAUGUAAAGCUCUAUCAGCAGGGAAGAUAAUGACGGUACCUGACUAAGAAGCA
rnacentral:rRNA from 1 species